GAACGGUAGCACAGAGAGCUUGCUCUUGGGUGACGAGUGGCGGACGGGUGAGUAAUGUCUGGGAAACUGCCCGAUGGAGGGGGAUAACUACUGGAAACGGUAGCUAAUACCGCAUAACGUCUUCGGACCAAAGUGGGGGACCUUCGGGCCUCACACCAUCGGAUGUGCCCAGAUGGGAUUAGCUAGUAGGUGGGGUAACGGCUCACCUAGGCGACGAUCCCUAGCUGGUCUGAGAGGAUGACCAGCCACACUGGAACUGAGACACGGUCCAGACUCCUACGGGAGGCAGCAGUGGGGAAUAUUGCACAAUGGGCGCCAGCCUGAUGCAGCCAUGCCCCGUGUAUGAAGAAGGCCUUCGGGUUGUAAAGUACUUUCAGGGGGGAGGGAAGGCGAAAAGGUUAUUACCUUUUCGAUUGACCUUACCCGCAAAAGAAACACCGGCUAACUCCGGG
rnacentral:rRNA from 1 species